rnacentral:tRNA from 1 species
GUUGUAGCUCAGUGGCAGAGCAUUCGCCUAGCAUGUUGGAGGCACUGGGUUUGAUCCUCAGCAUGACA